rnacentral:rRNA from 1 species
UACGUAGGUGGCAAGCGUUAUCCGGAUUUACUGGGUGUAAAGGGCGUGUAGGCGGGAAAGCAAGCCAGGGGUGAAAGCCCGGGGCCCAACCCCGGGACUGCUCUUGGAACUGCGUGGCUGGAGUGCAGGAGGGGCAGGCGGAAUUCCUAGUGUAGCGGUGAAAUGCGUAGAUAUUAGGAGGAACACCAGUGGCGAAGGCGGCUUACUGGACUGUAAAUGACGCUGAGGCUCGAAAGCGUGGGGAGCAAACAGG